GCGAGACUUAGUGCUCCACACCCCUGUGAACCGUACCUGUCAAAAUUUUAUUGCAGCGUUGUUUCGGCGGGUCCAGCCGGGUUUGGGCCGGGAGAAUUUUUAUGUUCUUCCGGUCCGGCCCCGGCGGGUUUCGGUCGGCCUUCCAGGCCAACUGAAGCCGCCCGCCGACAGCGCCAAACCCUUCUAUUAUUUUUAGCUUUUUUGUCUGAGUGGCCUAUUGUUUAAAAAACAAGUUA
rnacentral:misc_RNA from 1 species